rnacentral:rRNA from 1 species
UACAGAGACUGCAAGCGUUAUUCGGAUUCACUGGGCGUAAAGGGUGCGCAGGCGGCCAUGUGUGUCUGGUGUGAAAUCUCGGGGCUUAACUCCGAAAUUGCGCCGGAAACUACAUGGCUAGAGUACUGGAGAGGGUAGCGGAAUUCAUGGUGUAGCAGUGAAAUGCGUAGAUAUCGGGAGGAACACCUGAGGCGAAGGCGGGCUACUGGGCCGAUACUGACGCUGAUGUGCGAAAGCCAGGGGAGCGAACGGG